CUUCUUAUUUCACCAGCCAGUUUUGCCUCCCCCUCUCCUAUCUCCUUGGGGACAUUGGAUGUAACAUUGCAGGUCUGAACAUUAUUCGCAAUGAUAAAGACAGUGGUUUGGAUUUCUCCCUGUCUCCUACUGACAUUUCACCAUGAAUCCCCAGAUCUAAACUGAAUUCCUCAAGAGCCACACCAGCAUCGAUUCUGAUCUCGGUGGCUGUCGUCCAGUUCAUCAACCUCCUUCUGCUUGCUUCUCAUCCAUCCAAGGUAGAAGUUCCUCUCUUCAGUUUUUGUUCCUUUUGGGAGAGUCAGUGUCCAGCCAGGUAAGUCUAGAAUUUACCCAGCUUCUGCUUUUAGCUAGGAUGGGUCCAUCUCUGUCAGCAUAGAAGAAAUCCCCCUUUGUUACUGCAUUGGGCCUCUCAGCUGCUUUUGCAAUCUGGGUCAAAA